UACGGAGGGAGCUAGCGUUGUUCGGAAUUACUGGGCGUAAAGCGCGCGUAGGCGGCCCGGUAAGUCCGCUGUGAAAGUCAAAGGCUCAACCUUUGAAUGUCAGCGGAUACUGCCAGGCUAGAGUCAGGAAGAGGCGAGUGGAACUCCUGGUGUAGCGGUGGAAUGCGCAGAUAUCAGGAAGAACACCAACGGCGAAGGCAGCUCGCUGGGACGGAACUGACGCUGAGGCGCGAAAGCGUGGGGAGCGAACAGG
rnacentral:rRNA from 1 species